GCCCCUACUAAAGAAUGCCAGAAGACGUUCUCUUUCCGCAGCGCUUUCUUAAACAAAUUCUUGGAGAGGGCGAGAGUGGCGACUGAAGAGAGGAACCUUUCCUCCCCUUUUGCCUGCGCUCUGGCGCGCGGAGGUUAAGGAUACAGAUGGAUAACUGUUAACUGGAGCUCAGAGUACACACUUGGAAUGGAAGAGGUUGGAAAGCUGGGAAGAAUGGAUGGCAUGGUCCUAGAAAGGGCUGGAAGUGGAACACAACAGCCACCAAGAAGCCAAACACCUGGAUACAGUAUUACAAGUAGAGACCUCAGUCACCCUGACACUUCUACAACCAGGAGAGAACUUUAAAAAAUGGGAAGUUGUCCUCUGCAGUUUUUUGUUGUUGUUGAUGAUGAUCUUCCUGUCAUAGACAAUGCUGUAAUGAACAGACUAGUAGCCAAAAACUCAAUUGCGAAAUUGUUGUUUCCAAAAACUAAAUGGGAACUUAUUGUUUAUUUGAUUGAACACGGAGAUCUUUCGUGACUCAGCGAUGGCUGAAUUCAGAGGACAAAAGAUUGGUACAAGCAGUGACUUUUCUCCAUCUCUUGGUUCUGUCUGCCUCUGUUUUGGCUCUGGUCAGACAAGCAUGCCCCACUGUGGUGCAAAGAAGGCUAUGGAAGUGUCAGCCUCCUAUCAUUCUGGGUCUUAGUAUAUAUAGAUGAUAUGUUUUUUUCUUUUUUUUUUCUUUUUUU